rnacentral:rRNA from 1 species
GAUGAACGCUAGCUACAGGCUUAACACAUGCAAGUCGAGGGGAAACGGCAUUGAGUGCUUGCACUCUUUGGACGUCGACCGGCGCACGGGUGAGUAACGCGUAUCCAACCUUCCCAUUACUGUGGGAUAACCUGCCGAAAGGCAGACUAAUACCGCAUAGUCUUCGAUGACGGCAUCAGAUUUGAAGUAAAGAUUUAUCGGUAAUGGAUGGGGAUGCGUCUGAUUAGCUUGUUGGCGGGGUAACGGCCCACCAAGGCGACGAUCAGUAGGGGUUCUGAGAGGAAGGUCCCCCACAUUGGAACUGAGACACGGUCCAAACUCCUACGGGAGGCAGCAGUGAGGAAUAUUGGUAAAUGGACGGAAGUCUGAACCAGCCAAGUAGCGUGCAGGAUGACGGCCCUAUGGGUUGUAAACUGCUUUUGUAUGGGGAUAAAGUUAGGGACGUGUCCCUAUUUGCAGGUACCAUACGAAUAAGGACCGGCUAAUUCCGUG